rnacentral:lncRNA from 1 species
GAAAGAUCUCCCAUGCUCAUGGAUUGGCAGGAUUAAUUUAGUAAAAAUGGCUAUUUUACCAAAAGCAAUCUACAGAUUCAAUGCAAUCCCCAUCAAAAUACCAAUCCAAUUCUUCAAAGAGUUAGACAGAACAAUUUGCAAAUUCAUCUGGAAUAACAAAAAACCCAGGAUAGCUAAAGCUAUCCUCAACAAUAAAAGGACUUCAGGGGGAAUCACUAUCCCUGAACUCAAGCAGUAUUACAGAGCAAUAGUGAUAAAAACUGCAUGGUAUUGGUACAGAGACAGACAGAUAGACCAAUGGAAUAGAAUUGAAGACCCAGAAAUG